CUCAAGCCGAUUCUUCCAUUUCGUAAGCCCAAGUCUCCCACCGUAAAUCUCCAGGGGAAAAUCAACCUCCUUUGAGAUUUCAGAUUUUUCUCUUCCUCUUCUCAUUGCUGUGUUUCCGUUGCUUGAAAAGGGGAUCAAAUUAGGUAUGAAUGAUGAGGCUGUGGAGCUAGACACUGCUGAGGAGGGAAGGGCUGAUGCUUAGAAUUCCCUGUCGGUUUGGUUUGAUGAUAAUGGUUAUGUUUUAUGUUUUAUGAUGGGUCUCAUGUUGUGACAUUCUGUUGGUUUGACUUUAAGACAAUAUGUCCUUGGGCAUGAUGUAGGUAUUGUGGUGGGAUGAUGGUAACCCCACAUAAGAUAGUUAAUGUCUUUUGGGUGUGUUGUAGGGACAGAGUCCCCUUUUUAUUGGAACUAGCGAUGUUUUAAAUGAAUGAAUGGUGGACUCUGAGAGUCCUUUGG